UGGCCGGGGUCGGCGGGGUCGGCCUUCUCGGUCUCGGGCACCGAGGAGGUGAUCGAGGCGUCGCGGACCUCGAUCAUCCGGGGCUGGCCGU
rnacentral:tRNA from 1 species